ACGCGCUGAAUUUAAGCAUAUCAGUAAGCGGAGGAAAAGAAACUAACUAGGAUUGCCCCAGUAGCGGCGAGUGAACAGGCAAAAGCUCAAAGUGAAAAUCCUUAGCACAAAGUUAAGGAAUUGUAAUCUAGAGAGGUGUUCGGAGGGGAUUGGGCGUGGCAUAAGUUCCUUGGAACAGGACGUCAUAGAGGGUGAAAACCCCGUAGUCGGCCACGUCUCGGAACCAACGAGCGCUUUCGAAGAGUCGGGUUGUUUGGGAUUGCAGCCCUAAAUGGGAGAUAAACUUCUUCUAAAGCUAAAUAUUUAUGGGAAGCCGAUAGCGAACAAGUACUGCGAAGGAAAGGUGAAAAGAACUUUGAAAAGAGGGUUAAAAGACUUGAAAUCGUUGAGAAGAGAGUGGUAAAAGAGUAAUCAUUUGUGUACGAUGCAAGCUCCGCUUCCCGGGCUUUGCUGCGCUUUAGUACUUCAUAGGCUGUGCGUAGUAAACGUUUGGUAGCAGGGUGGUUUUCGUAUGCAAGAGACAAAAUGAAGUUCGAAAUCGGGAAUAAGCUAGUUAAAUGCCCCCCUAAAAAGGAGUUAAUUAGUCAAACCGGCGACGAGCUUGAGGGGCCUGCGGGCGAUUUUGUCAAAGUGGCUUUUACCGUCCCGUCUUGAAACACGGACCAAGGAGUCUAUCCAAUAUGCGAGUGUUAGGGUGGAAAAACCCGAACGCAUAAGGAAACUGAGGAUAAGUUGUUAACAGCAACAGCCGACCUGGCGUCUCUGACAAAGGGCUCGAGCAAGAGCAUAUUUGAUAGGACCCGAAAGAUGGUGAACUUCGCGUGAGUAGGGUGAAGCCAGGGGAAACUCUGGUGAAAGCUCGAAGCGGUACUGACGUGCAAAUCGUUCGUCGAACUUGCGUGAAGGGGCGAAAGACUAAUCGAACCAUCUAGUAGCUGGUUCCCUCUGAAGUUUCUCUCAGGAUAGCUGGAACAAACCAAGCAGUUUUAUUAGGUAAAGCGAAUGAUUAGAGGAAUCGGAGCUCAAAGAGUUUUGACCUAUUCUCAAACUUUAAAUUGGUAAGAACCGGGGGUUAACUUAAGUGAACCUCUGGGCAGAAUGCUUGUUCCAAGUGGGCCAUUUUUGGUAAGCAGAACUGGCGAUGAGGGAUGAACCUAACGCUUAGAUAAGGUGCCUAAAUCUGCAUUCAUGAGACCCCACAAAAGGUGUUGGUUCAUUUAGACAGCAGGACGGUGGCCCUGGAAGUCGGAAUCCGCUAAGGAGUGUGUAACAACCCACCUGCCGAAUGAACUAGCCCUGAAAAUGGAUGGCGCUGAAGUGCAGUACCGAUACUAAGCCAUUAUAGCAAAUUUGAGGCUAUGAUGAGUAAGAGGGCGUGUCCGUCUUGUGUAGAAGCCUUUGGCGUGAGCCUGGGUGGAACGGCGGAUAGUGCAGAUCUUGGUGGUAGUAGCAAAUAUUCAAAUGAGAACUUUGAAGACCGAAGUGGGGAAGGGUUCCAUGAGAACAGCAAUUGGUCAUGGGUUACUCGAUCCUAAGGCAUAGGGCAAGUCCUUGGAAUGCAAUACAGCGUAUGCUGUAGCUGCCAAAAGGGAAAGGGGUUAAUAUUCCUCUAGUCGGCUGUGGAUAAAAUGUGGCAACACAAAUGAGCCUGCAGACAUCAGCAUGACCCCCUGGAAGAGUUGUCUUUUCUUUUUAACUGUUUAUGGCCCUGAAAUUGGAUUAUCCAGAGAUAGGGCUGUAAGGCAGGCAGAGCAGCUCACCCUAUGAGCUGUCAGGUGCGGUCAUGAUGAUCCUUGAAAAUGCAGGGGAGAUAUUUAUAUCACACCGAAUCGUACCCAUAACCGCAUCAGGUCUCCAAGGUU
rnacentral:rRNA from 1 species